UACGAAGGGGGCUAGCGUUGCUCGGAAUCACUGGGCGUAAAGCGCACGUAGGCGGCUUUCUAAGUCAGGGGUGAAAUCCUGGAGCUCAACUCCAGAACUGCCUUUGAUACUGGAGAGCUCGAGUCCGGGAGAGGUGAGUGGAACUGCGAGUGUAGAGGUGAAAUUCGUAGAUAUUCGCAAGAACACCAGUGGCGAAGGCGGCUCACUGGCCCGGUACUGACGCUGAGGUGCGAAAGCG
rnacentral:rRNA from 1 species